rnacentral:rRNA from 1 species
UACGUAGGUGGCAAGCGUUGUCCGGAUUUAUUGGGCGUAAAGCGAGCGCAGGCGGUUGCUUAGGCCUGAUGUGAAAGCCUUCGGCUUAACCGAAGAAGUGCAUCGGAAACCGGGCAACUUGAGUGCAGAAGAGGACAGUGGAACUCCAUGUGUAGCGGUGGAAUGCGUAGAUAUAUGGAAGAACACCAGUGGCGAAGGCGGCUGUCUGGUCUGCAACUGACACUGAGGCGCGAAAGCGUGGGGAGCAAACAGG